UCAUUGUAGGAUAGCUCAGCUAGUAGAGCAUGAGACUCUUAAUCCCAGGUCCGUGGCUUUGAGCCCCACAUUGGGUGAG